AUAAGAUUUCCAAAUCUUUUUUCCGCUCGAAUUGUCAAAAAAAUUUCAUGCAAAUUAAUUCUCCAAUAUCAAUAGACCACUUUCUCAAAAGGUUACUUUCAGCUAUCCAUAAAGGGGUUCCUGUACAAAGAAAAAUCAAACGUAAUAUCUCCUCCAACACCGAAAAGGUUAACUCCAACGCAUUCUACGAAAAGACACUUUACAAUAACUCUAAAACACCCUGAAGAAGACGCGUCUCUUGAAUACCACAGGCCAUCUUCAGCAGCAACGUGGGCGCAACGUGAUGGAUUUCGAUUUUCAUGAUUGAUGAACGAUCUUUAACCUCAGGAAUGUCAUACGACCGAGAUUUAACCGAUAAAUUUGGAUCAAGGAUAAUAUUGUUUUCUGACCUUGGGCAUUACAGACGGGUUUUGGCUCAUCAAAGGAAGGAGAAAAAUCGACGCUCGUCACAAUUAAACAGCGUAAUUUACGACACACGAGCGCUAAUAAAUAAAAGAACAUCUUGUUUUCUCAACGGAGGGUAGCUUGUCAUCAUUCUCUUUAUGAUCAAUCGUUAGGCAAACAUCGCCGGUGUCUUUAUCCUGGAUCAGUCUUAUUUCGACUCUUAAAAUAAUCAACAUGAUUCGCAUCAUAUAACAAUAUUUCUCAAGAAACGUUGAUUAAUCGUAGGUACAAAAAUACCAGAUUUGCGAUGGGUUUAUUAUACAUGUUGAUGAAGAUGACGUUUAAUCUGACAUAGUUUCUCAGAAGCUUUGAACAGCCGAGAACUGCUUUCAAAUUGAUAAUAAAUGAACGAUACAGUAUCAAAGUAGUCAUGCGUUAAAUUAGAACGAUUAUCUUGAUGAUUGGUAACAUUUUAAUAAGAUAUGAUAAGACAGUGGAACGAUGUUGAAAGUGAGAAAGGAUAUACUUCUUUAUACCAUUGAUUUCUAACCUGUUUCUAUAUUUAUUAAAAACUAUGUUAAGGCAGUAGCUUAAAGUUUGAUUGACAUAGCGCAAGAUUUAUGCAUCUUUUAUGAUAAUCAACGAGAGAGUGGUAGAAUUGUAAAGCAAUAAAUAACUUCGUUAAUCGGUUCUCAUUUUUCCUUCACGACAUGGCGCCUUUAUUCUCAUAAAGCUGACGCCCUACCUCUUUUAUCUCCAUGAGGAUAUUCAUACCAUAUAAAUAUUCUCUUAGUUUUAUUCGAACUCAACAACUCCCUUUACGUGCGACGAACGCGAUGCCGGACCAUUUCUGACUCAUACUACUUUGUUAUUUAGGAUUUAUCUGCGUUUUACGUAAAACUGAUGCUCGUUCCGCCAAUAUAUGUUCCACGAUCGUCACUUUAUUCGUCAUAGUUCCUAAUGGACACGAAAAAACCGGUUUUAACGGGUCCCUGGCGAAGCAACGAUAUAUUCUUUGUAAUUUUGAAAUACAACCGUUCAUUAAAGGCGUACGCGACGACUAUUUAUCUUUUCGACGACAACGAGGUCUCGUUAGACCGUGUAAAUGAUAAUAAUAACGAUGAUUAAACUAACGACUA
rnacentral:misc_RNA from 1 species